ensembl:snoRNA Small nucleolar RNA SNORA35
GAGCACUGUUUUUACUGCGGAGGAUGUCUGCUUUAUGUCCAUACUGCUAUCGUUACAGUGCCAAAUGAGCCUCAGUUUGCAGAAGGGCACUGCCAAAUAUUGGCACCUCCCUUUCGAAGACUGAGAACAUUA